GACGAACGCUGGCGGCGUGCUUAACACAUGCAAGUCGAGCGGUAAGGCCCUUUCGGGGGUACACGGGCGGCGAACGGGUGAGUAACACGUGGGUGACCUGCCCUCAGCUCUGGGAUAAGCCUGGGAAACCGGGUCUAAUACUGGAUAUGACUCCAUGACGCAUGUUGUGGGGUGGAAAGCCUUGUGCGGCUGAGGAUGGGCCCGCGGCCUAUCAGCUUGUUGGUGGGGUGAUGGCCUACCAAGGCGACGACGGGUAGCCGGCCUGAGAGGGCGACCGGCCACACUGGGACUGAGACACGGCCCAGACUCCUACGGGAGGCAGCAGUGGGGGAA
rnacentral:rRNA from 1 species